UUCAGAUGUCAAAGUUAAUCCUCUUCUACUCGUUCUCUACUCACUCACUUUGUAAACUACCUGAGAGAGCUGCUGUAUGAUCAGAAGACAUGACUAGUUAGUGACUGAAACAGCAGGGGGCGCUGUGACUCUGAGCCUCACAUCACAGACUGCUGCUUGCAUCACAUUUUGGUGAAUUAGGAAUUAAACCUUGAUCAACUUUUGCACUCAGUGAAUGUCACUUGUGUUGUCUCAUAUAUGACCAGAGGAGGCUCGUCCAUAGAGGCAGAGGAGAUGCCACAAAUGCAGUGGGACGUUAUGACAUGG